UAGGCAGAACCUAGAAAGGGGAAGCGCGGGAGGCAGAAUGAGACCUAAUCCCCUCCCUGGACAUCCCGGGCUUUUAAGGCCUUCAGACUCCCCAGUUCCCAGCCUGGACCCCAGCUCUAGUUUGGGCUCCAGCUCCCUUCCCAGAUUGGAUUCCUAUUGUAAAGGCCCCUGGCGUUGAUCUAGGUCAGGCUGGGAGCUUCCUCCCCAACUCCUCCCUGGGCCUGAGCCCCACUACUAGCCCAGCCCCCGUCCUGGGACACGAGCCCAAGCCCUAUGACUCCCCUCCCUCCAGCUCAGUACUCCACCCCCUUCUUAAACGCCAUCCCCCAACCCAGAUCCUGGUGAGUCCUGGCCAGAAACCAGCUGCCUCCUACCCUGGGUCCAGCCCCGCCUCCCCGGCAGCUCGGGCCGGGUUGUGCCCUGCGCUCACCUCCCAGACACAGCCCCAUUGUCACUCGGUACAGGAUGUUGUCAACGAUGCCGCCCUUCAGAAUUCCACACAAGGCCCUGACUCUGACCUUGAUGGAGUGCAUGGAAGACAGGAAGAUGCUCUUAAACCCAGCCUGCUGCAAACACAGGUUACCGCCAGCAUGAAAAAGUUACACCCCAUAAAGUGGCCAUUCUCUUCUCAAGACGUGGCACUGUGCUAAAUCAGUUCCGAUGGUCAACAAAUAUGCGAACAAAUGGUAACUUUAUCAUUAUUGAAGGAAUGCAAAUGUAAACAAAAGUGACUUUUCCAUUUUUCACCUGUUCAAUGGUCUAUGUUCAAAAUAAAUGAUUCUCCAGGAUUGGAUGAGCAUGGCUUUGGGAUCUCUUCUACAGUAAGUAGAUACACAGGUGCAUAAUCUUCCUGAAGGCACUUGAGCAAUGUCUAUAGAAUGGCUUAAAAUGUACACACAUCUUAAACACGGCCAACCAGGAGCAGGAAGCACUCCUAACAACCUGAUUGUGGUUUCCAAAUAACAUUUGGGAAAGUACCAAAAUUCCAAAAGGAAAAGAAGAGGGCUCCUUGGAAAAUGGCGGCUUAAAGGUGAGAGACAGGAAAUGAACAAGAUGAGCUUGGAACAUCUCGUGGUGGCAGACAAUGGGCAAAUGAUCAAAGAUGACUGGGCCAUAGCAAAAGGACACAGGAGCCAGCUGGAAGAGGCUCUUCCACACCCAACAUGGAGGCAUUUGAGUAUCACUGAGGGUGCAAUUUAAAUGAAUUGAAACACAUUAAACAUCACACACACAAACACACACCCCUGCAUCUAAAUUCAUCAGCUACCAUGGCAGAAUGCUGGGGAAACCAAUUCAUUAUUAUUAUUAUUUCUGAGACAGAGUUUCUCUCUUGUCACCUGGGCUGGAGUGCAGUGGCGCAAUCUCGGCUCACUGCAACCUCCGCCUCUUGGGUUCAGGCAAUUC